rnacentral:rRNA from 1 species
CGAACGCUGGCGGCAGGCCUAAUACAUGCAAGUCGAACGGCUCUUCGGAGCAGUGGCGGACGGGUGAGUAACGCGUGGGAAUGUGCCCUUUGGUACGGAACAACACAGGGAAACUUGUGCUAAUACCGUAUGUGCCCUUCGGGGGAAAGAUUUAUCGCCAUUGGAGCAGCCCGCGUUGGAUUAGGUAGUUGGUGAGGUAAAGGCUCACCAAGCCUACGAUCCAUAGCUGGUCUGAGAGGACGACCAGCCACACUGGGACUGAGACACGGCCCAGACUCCUACGGGAGGCAGCAGUAGGGAAUCUUGCGCAAUGGGCGAAAGCCUGACGCAGCCAUGCCGCGUGUAUGAUGAAGGUCUUAGGAUUGUAAAAUACUUUCACCGGGGAAGAUAAUGACGGUACCCGGAGAAGAAGCCCCGGCUAACUUCGUGCCAGCCGCCGCCGUAAUAC